CUGUUCGUAAGGGAUGCUCGGAUUGGGGAUCUGGAGGGAGGCGUUGACGGCGGCUGCGGCGGCUGCUUGGGAGGACUGUACGCUCUUGCUCUGGCUGUAGACUUUGCUGUGUGUGCCGUACCCAGUCAUAUCCCAGUUCGAACUCGGCUCUACUUUCAGUUUCUUCACGCUACAGAAGGCACUUGACUGAAGGGUGUGAGGAGAGAAAACUUGCACAUGCGAGGCCAUACCUUCGUACAUGGGGGCCAUCGGUGCAAGGACGCCUGUUAUUCAUGGCAACGCCGCCACGAACGACGCGAGAUCGCAGCCCCCCAAACUCAACACACAUCUGCCAUCUUGAGCGGGUGUCUCUCGGCGGAGGCGAAGCUGCCGCCUGCCUUCUGCAUCGCUGCCCGCCUCAGCGCGGGGGGAGCCGGGCACAUCCAGCCCCGCUCGCUGCCGGCCCUCCGACGCGGCCGGGGCGGGCGGGCGGGCGAGCGGGCGGGGGGCGGCGGCGCCGGGCCGGGCCGGGCCAG
rnacentral:lncRNA from 1 species